UUCAUCGCCCCCAUGAAGAAGAUGAUCCUUAACUGGGACACUCCCAUCGUGACCAAACUCCAAAGGAAGAUGGGAGAGAACACAGAGCGGCGGAAGGGAACGGCAUCUAAUGACAGAAGGAGAUUUCCAUUUUUACUUAAGCAUCAGGACCAUUGGGAAGCUUCUCUGUGGAGUGUCGCACGUCUCCAUUUUUCAGUCCCUCUGCUCCAAUCUUCUGGUUCGAUGAAGGCAGCACUUUUGGGGUGUCGGGAAGCCUUCUGCAGGCCAGUUCAAGAAACAGUUGAAAAAGACAAUCCCAGCCAGAACGGCCCACAUCCACAUGAUCACCUGGAAGGAGACGCCUGCGUCGUAGAUCAGCUGGGAAGAAAUAGGAGGGAGACAAGUUAAUUGAAUUUGCUUCUGAAGCGGAAUUAACUGAUAUUAUCACCAUGUUAUUGUCAGAGUACAAUGUUCUGUGAAACUGAAAAUCAAUCAGUUUGGAGAUGGUUCUCUGUGGAUGUGUCACUAAGGAAAACCUCUUUCACAUUAUAUUAGUAAGACCGAUUGUUACAAUUAAUUAGAACAGAUUUAAUACAGAUUUAAUACAGAGUGACUUGAACCAGUGUUUUGUACCAUCUGCGUUUUCUCUGAAAACCAAUCACCUUUUAGCUCCAAUUUCUCAGAAUGCAUGGGAUGUUGACAAAAGACCACAUAAGAUUCGUAAUGUCUAAUUGAAUAAAAUAAUAUAUUUCAAAUAUCAAAUCUUCAAAGGCACUGUCACAUUGUAAUACUGUUGCAUAUUUACAUGGUUUUUUUGAGAGAAGCACAUAGAGUGUGUCGAUAAGUUACCUUGACCCCGGGGAAGGUGACGGCAGACGAGGCGUAGGAGCCGAUCAUCAGAGACAUGACGGUGGAGCUCAGGGCGCCAAACAUGUUGGGGAGCUGCGAGAACAAAGGA